UAGCUCUCUGUAUAUAUGCAAACAGAAAACCUGACUCUAUCUCUAUAUACGUAUCUUCGUCUCUUUAUCUAACGCAGAAGUACUUUCUCUCUCUACGCGGCGCCCGAAGAGUACACCGCUGUCCUCUAUCUACUCCAUUAAAGUAAGAUCUCCUGGGGCGAGUGCUGAUUAUUUUUUUAUUGUGGAGGAGAGAGGGAAAAAAUUUGGCUUAGGGUUUUGAUGCGCUGGUGUGGGUUGAGAUUCGUAAGGUCAGUUCAGGUUACGGGUCCGGUUUGGGGAUGGCCAACUCUGGUGCCAAGUUUGUGUCUGCGAAUCUGAACAAGUCUUAUGGGCAGCAGCACCAGCCUUCUCAUUAUACUCAUCAUUCAGCUUUUAGUGGCAGCAGUAGUUCUUAUGGGCAGGGUGGCACUGGGGCUCGGGGGCGCCCUGGGAGUGGUGGUACGGGAAUGGUAUUGUUGUCAAGGAAUAGGGGCACACAGAAGGCUGGUCCAAAACUCUCUGUUCCACCCCCCUUGAAUUUACCCUCCUUGAGAAAAGAACACGAAAGAUUUGACUUGUCAGGGCCAGGCGGAGGGCUGGGUGGUGGCAUCGGUCCUGGAAAUGGGCCAAGGCCCACUUCGUCAGGUUUGGGCUGGACCAAGCCAGUCGCAGCUACUGCUUCAUCAGAGAAGAAUGAGAGCAGUGCUGAUGUUCAUGGAGCUGAUGGAAUGAAUGCUACUGAUGGAUUAAGUCGUGGCAGUGGUUCUUAUUUGCCAAUAUCAGCUCAAUCUGAUGAGUUUCGAGUUGUGCGUUCCGGUUAUCCUGGGGCAUUCCCGCCUUCAGCAGAGAAAAUCACAGUCUUGAGAGGUGAGGAUUUCCCUUCUUUGCAGGCUGCAAGGCCUGUUUCAUCAGGCACAUCACAGAAACAGAAGGAUGCUUUGAACCAAAGACAGAAGCAGGCAGUGAGUGAGGAAACAUCUGAGGACAAGAGGGACAGUUACCAUUCAAGUCUGCUAGCUGAUAUUCGGCAACAGGGGCAGUCUUCACGCAGUACUGUUGUAAAUAGUUCGUUGGAGAAUGGUGGAGAAGGUCAUAGGAUGGGCAGUUUGCGAAUGGCAGAUCACGCUCGGAAGCAGGAUGAUUACUUUCCUGGUCCACUGCCACUGGUUCAGUUUAAUCCAAGAUCUGAUUGGGCUGAUGAUGAGCGUGACACUGGCCAUGAGUUUGCAGAACGGGGAAGAGAAGUUGGGGGUUCAAAAGUUGAACAUUAUUGGGAUAGGGAUUUUGACUUGCCCAGGCCCAGUGUUUUAAUGCAGAAGCCAGUUCGUAAUCAAAAUCAUUGGAGUCAACGAGACAAUAAAGCUGGAAAUGUACUUUCCAGUGAAGUCUUUAAACCGGACCUGUAUAACAGAGAUUUGAGAACAACUAGUAGGGAAGGCAGGGAAGUCAACAAGUGGAGAACCUCACCACUUCCUAAAAAUGGAUUAAAUUCUCAAGAGGUUGGAAAUGACCGAUAUGUUGGUGGUGCAAGGACUGAUGGACUUAACAAUGAUGUGAAGGACAAUAAGUGCAUUACACCACAUUUUGGUGACACUGGUAGAGAUGGUAGUGUGAUGGUUAAUCGUGAUUCUUCAUUUGGAAGGAAGGAUGUGGUACAUGUUCCAGAAGUGAGGCAGCAAUCUAACAAUUCAAUGGAAUUAAUUAAUAAUCGAGGGGCUGAGCGUAAUAAUCGAGAUCGUUAUGGUGCCGAACAAUCCAACAGAUAUAGGGGUGAUAAUUUUCGGAAUAAUGCAUUAGCUAAAUCUCCGUUUGCUUCUAGUGGGAAAGUUCCUCCUGUGAUUGAUGUCAAACUAACUUUGGGCAGGGAGAAACAUGCUUUUUCCAAAGGAGAUAGACUGUUUACAGAGGAUCCCUUCUCCAACGACUUCGGUACUACAGGUUUCGAUGAAAGGGAGCUCUUUUCCAGGGAUCUUGUUGGUGCAAUUAAGAGGAAGAAGGAUGUUGCUAAGCCGACUGAUUUUCACGAUCCUGUUAGGGAAUCUUUUGAGGCAGAACUUGAAAGAGUUCAGAAGAUGCAAGAACUUGAGAGGCAGAGGAUUAUUGAAGAACAAGAAAGAGCUUUGGAACAAGCUCGAAGAGAAGAAGAGGAGAGACUGAGAAGAAUCAGGGAAGAGGAAGAAAGGCAGCGAAGGUUAGAGAAGGAAGCUCGUGAAGCUGCUUGGAGAGAAGAACAGGAGAGACUGGAGGCUAUACGAAAAGCCGAAGAGCAAAGACUUGCCAGGGAAGAGGAGAAGAAGAGAACUCUUAUGGAGGAAGAGAGGAGGAAGCAAGCUGCCAAAGAAAAGCUUUUGGAGUUGGAGGCUAGAAUGGCCAAGAGACAGAGUGAAACUUCAAAUGUUGACACUUCUACGUCUAAUGUGAUUGUGGAUGAUAAAGUGGAUGCUGGGGUGAAGGAAAAAGAUAGCUCUAGGACUGUUGAUUUGGACAACUGGGAAGACAGUGAUAGAAUGGGGGAUAAGACGAUGACAACAGAAUUGUUUGAUUCAUCUGCUUACGACAGACCUGAUAUCAGUUCUACGCCUUACCCUCCUGAAGAAGUUGCUUCAAGCUUUUCUGACAGAGGAAAAAGUGUCAAUUCAUGGAAAAUGGAUAUGUUUGAAAAUGUGAGUACCUUGCCCUUCCCAGCACAGGACCAGGAGAUUGGUCGUAACAGUCCAAGAAGAGAUACAUUUGGUGGUGGCAGGACAGUACCUAGGAAAGAUUUCCAUGGUGGAUCUGGAUACAUGAAUUCUAGGGCUCAUUCCAAAGCAGGCAGUCAAGACCCUUUCUUUGAUGACUUUGGACAUCAGAAGGACCAUAGGUGGAACUUGCCAGGGGAUGUUGACUUGUACAGCAAAAACAGGGAAAUCAAUUCCAAUUUUCAUGACAAUCUUGCAGAUAAAUAUGGUGAUAAUGGAUUGGGACAGGGCCAUUCUCGUAGUAGUACUCGCUCACCUUACCCAGAGCAACUGUAUAUGAAUUCUGAGGCAGAUGAGCUUUAUCCAUAUGGGAGGUCACGUCAUUCCAUGAAGCAGCCUCGCGUCCUCCCCCCUCCACUUGCUUCCUCUCAAAGAACUUUUAGGGGUGUGAAUGAGCAUCCUGGUCCAUCUGCUGUCCUAGAUAAUGGCAUCCAUUAUGCUUACAGAGCAAGAAGUGAAUCCACUAGGCAGACAGGUUAUUAUGGGGGUAACCAGGAAGCCCUUGAAGCAUCCAGCCUUGUCGAACUGCGGCAAGAAAACACCCCUAAUGAAGACCAGAAAUUGAAGGACAUUUCAUCAAGAUGUGACUCACAAUCUUCACUAUCUGUUUCAAGUCCCCCCAACUCUCCGCCUCAUCUCUCCAAUGAUGAAUUGGAUGAAUCUGGAGAUUCUCCUGUGAUAUCCAUAGGAGCAGAAGGAAAAAAGAAUCAGCUAUCUGCAAUUGAUUCUGUUAUCUUGAAUGAUCGUUCUGGAAAUGAUACCAUGCUAAUAGCACCAAGUUCUACUUCUGCUGGUGAGGAUGAGGAGUGGAGUCCUGAAAAUGAUGAUGAAUUGCAGCAGCAAGAGGAAUAUGAUGAGGAUGAAGAUGGUUAUCAGGAUGAGGAUGAAGUGCGUGGAGGAUAUGACAGGAAUCUUGAUCUGGAUCCAAAAAUUGAAGAUUUGCAUCUCGAGGAAAGGGAUUCUUCUCAUAUUUUGGACAAUGUUGUCUUAGGCUUUGAUGAUGGCGUUGAAGUUGUAAUACCAAGUGACGAUUUUGCAAGAAAUUCAGGGACCAAAGAAAGAACAUUUGGAAUUUCUGGCAAUCAUGUUCAUAUUGUGGAGGAACAAGGAGCUAUCGAUAGGGUUCCAGAUGAUGAACAAAGCUUUCUUCCUGCAGAUGAUUCCUUUGGGACAAGCAAAGAUAGCUUCUCUCGGAAGGUCCAGGAAACUGAUAAGGUGUUGCCAGCGGCUACCGUUCAACCUAUCAAUGCUCCUUAUGCCUUGGACACAUCAGAUUUUUUGUAUGUCGAUGCCUCAGUUAACUCCGGUUUACCUGCUCAACAACCCAUCUCAGCUUCAGGUGAUGUUACAUCUGCUGCUGGUGAGAUCAAUUUGUCAUCUGUGGCGUCUGCUGGGACUCAGGCUGAAGUACCUGUUAAGCUUCAAUUUGGGCUGUUCUCUGGUCCAUCUCUUAUACCAUCUCCAAUCCCUGCUAUUCAGAUUGGUUCAAUACAAAUGCCCCUCCACAUUCAUCCUCCUGUUGGUCCAUCUCUUACACAUUUGCAUCCUUCACAACCUCCUAUCUUCCAAUUCGGUCAGCUGCGUUAUGCAUCUCCUAUCUCCCAGGGAAUUUUGCCCAUGCCCCACCAAUCAAUGUCCUUUGUCCAGCCCAACAUGCAGGCCCAUUAUAAUCUGAAACAGAAUGUUGGAGGCUCUGUGCCUAACCAACCUGCUGAAGAUGCUCCACGACAUGCAGUAAAAGUUGAGGUGACCUCUCUCGGGGUAAAUAAGCAGUCUAGUUUGGUGUCUGGACAGCCAGAGCAAUCUCGUGGGAACCUUCCCGGGGAAUUAGGUUCGGUUUUGGCAGAAGACAGUUCAGAAGGUGACUUUCUUUCUCAUUCAAUUAGUUCUGUGGUUUCUGGUGCCUGUGAUGAUAAGAUCAAGUUAGAAUCUGUUUCUCCAUCAGUAGAGAAAGGACGACGUGAUUCUGUUUCGAACAAUUACUUGUCAUCAUCAAAGGAGAAUGGGUCUGUAAGUCAGUUGCAGCAUGUAAAACCAUCAUCGAAGUAUGUUUCUGGUGAGAAAAUUUUUAGUAGAACAAGACAUCAAGGCAUAGGAGGUAGCAGAGGGAGACGGUAUGCCUAUGCAGUAAAAAAUUCCAAUGCCAGAUCUUCUUUUCUGGCUCCUGAUACUAAUACAGAUUCAAGUGGGUUUCAGAGGAAACCUCGACGAACUGUUCAGCAAACUGAAAUUCGAGCGCGAGAGAAUGAAUUGAACCAAGAACCUGUAGCUACUGUUAAUAACAGAGGCUCAGUUGAUCAGUCAAAUUACAAAUCAAGAGCUGUGGGAAUUAUUGCGAGAGGUGGUUCUAAGAGAGGUACAAUCUCUAAUAGACCAUCGAAUCAGAGAGUUGAACCAGAGAGCUCAGUGUCUGGAAAUACUAGUUCUCAGGAGUUGAAUUCCAGUUACAGAAUAGGAAAGGAAAGUGUAAAAGAUAUGUCAAUGAAGAAGCAGAGUAAUCCUCCCCCUGGGAAGUCAAAUUUCAAGAGAAAUGCUUCUGAGGAGGACGUUGAUGCUCCCUUGCAAAGUGGUGUUGUUCGUGUUUAUACACAACCUGGCAUAGAAGCUCCCAGUGAUGAAGAUGACUUUAUUGAGGUGAGAUCCAAAAGGCAAAUGUUGAUCGAUCGACGUGAGCAGAGGGAAAGAGAAAUCAAAGCAAAAUCAAGGGUCACAAAGCUACUGCCUAAAUCUCGUGCUCCUAGACAAAGUGUAGUGGUCUCAACAAGUCCUAAUAAGCUUUCUACACCACUGGCUAGACAAUCAUCAACCAACUCUCCCUUGGAUUUUGUUGCUUCAGAGGGAAAAAGCUUGAGUGACAACGAAGUAGCUGCAGGAACCACUGAAGUUUCCCAACCACUGGCUCCAAUUGGCACUCCUGCUCUGAAUGCCGAAACUCUGUCUGAGACACCAUCUCAUGCUAUCACAUCUGUCCAGACAGAAUUGGUUUCUGUUGUUUCUAAUAAAAGUGGAAAUGACCUGGAGACUGCGAAAAUGUUUGAGAACAAAAAUAAGGUUUUGGAUAAUUUCCAGUUGGCUGCGAGUACUUGGAGCACUGCAGGACUUAAUCGACAGGUUAUGGCCUUGACCCAGACUCAACUUGAGGAGGCUAUGAAGCCUGCUCGAUAUGAUUCAGAGAUUUCUGUUGAAUGCCAUUCCAGCACUGUUAGUGAUUCUGUCUUGCCUUCAUCAUCCGUGUUAACAAAGGAUAAGUCUCUUUCUUCCGGUGCAAGUCCAAUCAAUUCCCUGCUUGCUGGAGAGAAAAUUCAAUUCGGUGCUGUUACCUCUCCAACAGUCCUUCCUCCAAGUGGUCGUGUUGUUUCACAUGGGAUUGGGGCUCCGGGGUCCAAUCGACCUGACAUACAAAUGUCCCGCAAUCUUUCUGCUGCUGAGAAAGAUAAUUCUCUUUUCUAUGAAAAGGAGAAACACCCCAGUGACUCUUGUGUUACUCUACAAGAUAGUGAGGCAGAAGCUGAAGCAGCUGCUUCUGCAAUCGCUGUUGCAGCCAUCAGUAGUGAUGAGAUUGUUGCCCAUGGGUUAGGUUCUGUUGGUUUCUCAGAUGCCAAAAACUUCAGAGGCUCUGACAUUGGUGGAAUUAUAGCAGCCGUAUCAGAAGAUCAGCAAUUGGUAAAUCAUUCACGAUGUGAAGAAUCAUUAAGCGUAUCUCUUCCUGCUGAUCUUUCUGUUGAGACAACUCCUAUCUCCUUAUGGCCACCGAUGUCAAGUUCACCGAGUUCUACGCCUCAGAUGCUUUCUCGAUUUCCUGCAGGUCCACCUUCGCACUUCCCCUUCUAUGAAAUGAAUCCGAUGUUGGGGGGUCCAAUCUUUGCAUUUGGUCCAUGCGAAAAUUCUUCUGGCACACAAUCACAACCUCAGAAUAGUACAGCAUCAAGUUCGGGACCUCCUGGUACCUGGCAACAAUGUCAUUCUAGCCUGGACUCAAUUUAUGGUCCGCCAGCUGGAUAUACUGGUCCUUUCAUUAGUCCUCCUGGUGGUAUUCCUGGAUUGCAGGGGCCUCCACAUAUGGUUGUCUAUAACCAUUUUGCUCCAGUGGGACAAUACGGACAGGUUGGUUUGAGUUUUAUGGGUACCACUUAUAUCCCUUCCAGUAAGCAAUCUGAUUGGAAACAAAAUCCAACAUCUUCAGCCAUGCAUGUUGGUGAGGGAGAGAUGAGUGGUAUGAAUACUACGUCCACACAACGAAAUGCUUCCAACAUGGCUGCUCCUGUUCAGCAUCUUGCCCCUGGAUCACCUCUCUUGCCCAUUGCCUCCCCUUUGCCUAUGUUUGAUGCAUCUCCAUUCCAGUCUGCGCCGGACCUAUCUUUCCAAGUUCGCUGGCCACAUCUUCCUGCAUCACCCCUUCACUCUCUUCCUCUCUCACUACCAUUGCAGCAACAAGCAGACGUUGUACUGCCUUCUCAAGUCGGCCGGGGACAUUCCAUUGACCAACCAUUAAAUUUCAAUAGGUUCUCUGAGUCUCGAAUUUCAACACCAUUGGAGAAUGACCCAUCUUUUUCUGUGGCAGCAGAUACUGCUAUUGCUAAGUUUCCUGCUGAGCUAGGAUUAGUUGGUACAUUGAGAUCCAUCAAUUCAGGCACAUCUGCCCAGAUUGGCAUUGAUCAAAGUUCUUCUGGAAGUUCUACUGCCGAGUCUGGCAAGACUAAUAUUCUUAAGAAUGGCAUUGACAAAAAUGGUAAGCACCAGAGCACUAAUUAUCUGAAGGCUCAGCCGUUUCCUCAGAAGAAUUCAUCCACCCGGCAGAGUAAUUCUUCUGGCUAUAUUUAUCAAAGAGGUGGUGGGAUGUCCCAAAGAAACAAUGCAGGGAAUGAGUGUUCCUAUCGAAGAAUGGGUUUCCAGGGAAGGAACCAGUCUUCUGGUGCAGAGAAGUUUGGUCUCGGUUCAAAAAUGAAACAAAUAUAUGUGGCUAAGCAAACGAAAAGUGGGAGUUCUAACGCAGCAGUAUGAGCAAACAUUAGGGUUUAUGGUGAAUAAUGGAGAGAUUAAACUGAUAACAUCUAGCUUUCAGAUCUUCAAUUGCACGGCUUCACAAGAUGUUAGUUUUGUAAUUUUCAUUGUGUUAAACGGCUUUCGGUGGAUUGCAGAACCUGCUGGUGAUAGUUAUUUCUAAAUCUGGCAGUCUCCAAGUCUCCCUCUGGGUAUUUGCACGAUUAUUGCUCAAGAUAUGCUGUUGUUAUACGCCUUUUGACAUUGCAUCACUAUCGCGAAAUGGCUUUCAGUGUGUGGCUAAGUGGAGUGGGUGGGUUUGUUUAUGAUGAUAUGACUUGGUAUAUGGAUGCACAAUGAACUUUAUUCUGCAGCUAUCUGGAAGAACAAGGCUUCAUACUGGUGUAGGUUGGGUGCCGGAAAGGGUUGUACAUUGCCUGUUCUCUUAUGGGAGGCUGGUCAAUGCAUGUUUGGUGCAUGUAAAUGAACUGCUCUACCAUAGCUUUUAGUAGAUAACCCCGAUUUUGGUUUAGUGGUACAUGCCAGCAAGGGAUGAUCAUACUUGUUCAA